GGAUGCGAUCAUACCAGCACUAAAGCACCGGAUCCCUUCAGAACUCUGAAGUUAAGCGUGCUUGGGCGAGAUUAGUACUAGGAUGGGUGACCUGCUGGGAAGUCCUCGUGUUGUAUUCC
rnacentral:rRNA from 1 species